UGCCUCUUUGUCCCUUUGCCCUUCGCCGCCGCCACCAGUUCACCACUAAAUGCUUCCUACUCUUGAACCAUGAUCUGCUGAUCUUCUUGCCACCAGUUACAGACCCUACUGUUAACUGAACGACAGAACAACAACUUAACAGAUUCAACGAAAGCCAACCUCCGCGGAACCCAUGGCAGAAUAUCCGAUGAGAAACGAACAGCAAGGAAUUGUUCAGAAUCUGGGUAUUCAGGUGAAGAAGGAAGAGAAUUAAGAGCUCAUGUGGGUCUAAUGGAAAGAAAAAGCCAAAUGAUAAUUUUGAUUGAAACCCAUUUGGGAAAGAUAAGGAUGAUGAUGUUAAGUUGGAGUUUGCUAGUCCAAUUGUAGAAGAGAACCUGGUCUGUGAGUACUAUGAUGUUUUGCCGUGAAUGCAACAACAUUCUGUAUCCUGAAGAGGUCAAGGACCAGAAGAUUCUUCUCUGUGCUUGCUAUAACUAUGACCACCAGGUGAAGCUCUUAGGAAUUGUAGGAAGCCCAUUUGUAAGCACAGAGGAGAUUGCUUUGAAACUGAAAGGAGUGAAAUAUGAAUACCUUCAUGAAUAUGUUAAAAAGGAAAGUGAUCUUCUAA